rnacentral:rRNA from 1 species
GACGAACGCUGGCGGCGUGCUUAACACAUGCAAGUCGAACGGUAAGGCCCUUCGGGGUACACGAGUGGCGAACGGGUGAGUAACACGUGGGUGAUCUGCCCUGCACUUCGGGAUAAGCCUGGGAAACUGGGUCUAAUACCGGAUAGGACCACUGCCUGCAUGGGUGGUGGUGGAAAGCUUUUGCGGUGUGGGAUGGGCCCGCGGCCUAUCAGCUUGUUGGUGGGGUGGUGGCCUACCAAGGCGACGGCGGGUAGCCGGCCUGAGAGGGGGAACGGCCACACUGGGACGGAGAUACGGCACAGACUCCUACGGGAGGCAGCGGUGGGGAAUAUUGCACUAUGGGGGCAAGCCUGAUGCAGCGACGCCGCGUGAGGGAUGACGGCCUUCGGGUUGUAAACCUCUUUCAGCACCGACGGAGCGCAAGUGACGGUAGGUGCAGAAGAAGGACCGGCCAACUACGUGCCAGCCGCCGCGGUAA